rnacentral:rRNA from 1 species
AUUGAACGCUGGCGGCAUGCCUUACACAUGCAAGUCGAACGGUAACGGGCCUUCGGGUGCCGACGAGUGGCGAACGGGUGAGUAAUGCAUCGGAACGUACCUUUCAGUGGGGGAUAACGUAGCGAAAGUUACGCUAAUAACGCAUAUUCUGUGCGCAGGAAAGCAGGGGAUCGCCAGCCCUUGCGCUGAUUGAGCGGCCGAUGUCAGAUUAGCUAGUUGGGGAGGUAAAGGCUCACCAAGGCGACGAUCUGUAGCGGGUCUGAGAGGAUGAUCCGCCACACUGGAACUGAGACACGGGCCAGACUCCUACGGGAGGCAGCAGUGGGGAAUUUUGGACAAUGGGGGCAACCCUGAUCCAGCCAUGCCGCGUGAGUGAAGAAGGCCUUCGGGUUGUAAAGCUCUUUCGGCCGGGAAGAAAUCGUAUGGGCUAAUACCCUGUGCGGAUGACGGUACCGGCAUAAGAAGCACCGGCUAACUACGUGCCAGCAGCCGCCGUAACAC